GUUCUAUAUCCGCAAGGUACGGUUCCUUCCAUUUUUAUCACUUCUUGUGCUAUCAUGCUGCUGCUAUAAGACUCUCCUUAACGUCUUUUUGCUUGGUUUUGCAUUUAAUCUCCAUUCUCCUUUCUUUCCCGCUUCUCUCUGUAACUACGUUGAUCAUGAUGUUGAAUGAAUAAUCUUAAACUCUGUUUUUUUAAUUAAAGAAAAAGAUUGAAAGGAAUCGCAUAAUCUCUGUUUUCGCACGAGAUCUGGUGAGUGUGCUGUGUGCUACUCAUCUGUUUUUCGUUAAUCGUCCAUAGGCCCUUUCUUUUUGAGUGUUUUAUUGGAUACCCAUUUUUAUUUUUACCAUUUUCUGGGAUCUUGGUUUUUGCUUUG
rnacentral:misc_RNA from 1 species